CAGUAGCCGCGGUAAUACGGAGGGCGCGAGCGUUACCCGGAUUUACUGGGCGUAAAGGGCGUGUAGGCGGCCUGGGGCGUCCCAUGUGAAAGGCCACGGCUCAACCGUGGAGGAGCGUGGGAUACGCUCAGGCUAGAGGGUGGGAGAGGGUGGUGGAAUUCCCGGAGUAGCGGUGAAAUGCGCAGAUACCGGGAGGAACGCCGAUGGCGAAGGCAGCCACCUGGUCCACUUCUGACGCUGAGGCGCGAAAGCGUGGGGAGCAAACCUGAUUAGAUACCCCAGUAGUCCCUGUCUCUUAUAC
rnacentral:rRNA from 1 species